rnacentral:rRNA from 1 species
AUUGAACGCUGGCGGCAUGCCUUACACAUGCAAGUCGAACGGUAACAGGUCUUCGGAUGCUGUCGAGUGGCGAACGGGUGAGUAAUACAUCGGAACGUGCCUAGUAGUGGGGGAUAACUACUCGAAAGAGUGGCUAAUACCGCAUGAGAUCUACGGAUGAAAGCAGGGGAUCGCAAGACCUUGUGCUACUAGAGCGGCCGAUGGCAGAUUAGGUAGUUGGUGGGAUAAAAGCUUACCAAGCCUACGAUCUGUAGCUGGUCUGAGAGGACGAUCAGCAAAACUGGGACUGAGAAACGGCCUAGACUCCUACGGGAGGCAGCAGUGGGGAAUUUUGGACAAUGGGCGCAAGCCUGAUCCAGCAAUGCCGCGUGCAGGCUGAAGGCCUUGGGGUUGUAAACUGCUUUUGUACGGAACGAAAAGCCCCGGGUUAAUACCCUGGGGUCAUGACGGUACCGUAAGAAUAAGCACCGGCUAACUACGUGCCAGCCGCCGCCGUAA